rnacentral:rRNA from 1 species
UGGGGAAUAUUGGACAAUGGGCGAAAGCCUGAUCCAGCCAUGCCGCGUGUGUGAAGAAGGUCUUCGGAUUGUAAAGCACUUUAAGUUGGGAGGAAGGGCAGUAAGUUAAUACCUUGCUGUUUUGACGUUACCGACAGAAUAAGCACCGGCUAACUCUGUGCCAGCAGCCGCGGUAAUACAGAGGGUGCAAGCGUUAAUCGGAAUUACUGGGCGUAAAGCGCGCGUAGGUGGUUUGUUAAGUUGGAUGUGAAAGCCCCGGGCUCAACCUGGGAACUGCAUCCAAAACUGGCAAGCUAGAGCACGGUAGAGGGUGGUGGAAUUUCCUGUGUAGCGGUGAAAUGCGUAGAUAUAGGAAGGAACACCAGUGGCGAAGGCGACCACCUGGACUGAUACUGACACUGAGGUGCGAAAGCGUGGGGA